rnacentral:lncRNA from 1 species
GGUGUUAAAAAGGUGUUGUUAUAGGUUGUUCACUGGUUUGGCUGCAUAAUUACUACCCUAUUUUCCAUGCUCUUUGAUUCCAUUACAUGCCUUCAAGGUGUUUGACAAAAUGUCCAACUAUGGAGAAUUGAUGAAUCGAUGCUUUAAAGCUUGAGUUAUGAGAUGUAUGGAAAUCCAGAGAUGUGUUGAUGACAAACUAAGCUUGUGUAUAUGUUCAUUCCAUACGUGAGAUUGCAUUAGAGCCUAAUGAGAAUUUCCUAUAUAAAGUGUUGCAUGACCAUGCCCGGUCCGGGGGAAAAGAACCGGACAACCAUGUGAGAGGUUUAUAUCUCACCACCUAGGAUGCUUGGGGUGUGACCAACAUCAACCAUGUGAGAGGUUUAUAUCUCACCACCUAGGAUGCUUGGGGUGUGACCAACAUCAACC